UCCCAUAUUAGAAUAUUAGAUAAUUAAGAUAGGGGAGUUUCUAUAAUGAGGGGUAAAAGUGAGGGAUUAUAAUGACAAUCAAGCAGUCUAAUAAUAACUAUGCACCAGAGCAACGACUAUUAAGGAACCCCUCAUUAUAAGCCCUCACUUUUACCCAUCAUUAUAGCCUCCCUAACUAAGAUAGUUAUCUUAAUUAGAAUAGAGUUCUAGCCUAGUCCAAUAUUUUAGCUUAAUUUAUGCUUAAAUUAAUAAAUAAAUAUUUAAUCUUCAAUGUAAUAUUUAAAAUACUUAAAUAAUAUCCAAUAAUAGUAUUUACUUAAUUUAAAUUAUUCUUUAGACUUAAUAAUAAUAAAACUUUGGUAAGAAACCUCGCUCUAUGAGAAAACCUUACGGAUAAACAUUCGAGCCAUCGCACCCUAGGGACGACGAC
rnacentral:lncRNA from 1 species